CACUCCCAGAGCCCCUGGAACUCUGGCCCAAGGCUCUCUGACUGACUCCCUCCCAGAUCUUCUUGGCUUAGCAGCUGAAGACUGACACUGCCCAAUCACCUUGGAAGCCCCCUAGACCAUCAUGGAUGCCGAACUUCAGGUAACUCUCACAGUGGAAGGUAGUUCUUCAAUCAAGACUACAUUGAACAAGGAUGGUGAUGCAGCUUAUACAGCAGAAAACACUGUUGGUGCUGAAAUAGUUCGUACAAGAGAAUGACUAUAGAUCACUUAAUUAAGCUCCUCUUACUUCUAGGCCAGGUCUAUGGUUAGCAACAUGAUGAAGGAUGCCAGCUUCCCCUGAAGAUCAACCCAUCAUUGAAGUUGAAAACUUUGAGAUCACAAGACACCAAUAGAUGUUCCAGUACAUCUUUGUGGAUUCCAAGACAUCCUCACAGAAUGGAGUCUCUGUCGCCCGGCUGGAGUGCAGUGGUGCAAUCUCGGCUCACUGCAACCUCCGCCUCCUGGGUUCAAGUGAUUCUCCUGCCUCAACCUCCUGAGUAGCUGGGACUACAGGCAUGCACCACCAUGCACAUGGGCAAUUUUUUAUAGCGGGGAGUGGAAUGUAACAUUUGUACUUACUGCAUCAGAUUCAAGUAUAAUUAGUCUCCUAUUAUCAAAUACAUUCAGACUCAUAAAUCAAAGGCCUGUAAUUAUUGAAUCCAGUAUGUCAACUGCUAAAACUACCUUUUUUUUCCUAAAAAUGAUUUUGUUACUGCUCCAUAGAUUAGCUCCCACAAAACUGCCAAGUCAAAAUGUAGGCUUUAUUUUUGCUGUCUAGAAAUGAACUUCUAUUAGGAAUUACUGUGAUAUUUAAUUCUUAGCAAAAUGCAUCCAAUGAAAAUAAAGUAAUACAUUCAGUUUCUGAUUUGAAAAGGAUUCGCAAUGUGUUAGGUGAUGGUGUUUUCUGGGUUGCCCCCUUACAGAGCUAGAGCAGGCCCUUGCUCUUCCUUGAUGGCUGGGCAUCUGCCAUGACUUCUGUCACUGCUUGAUAGACGACACUUUUUCUCCUCUGCUUGAUGAAACCAAUUAUUUUCUUUUCCCGAGAGUGUGUCAAUUAUGCCAUUGUCAUCGUGGCAGCCAAAGGCAUAUUAGUGCUGUUUUCUGUUAAAUUCAUUUUGAAAUCUCAGCAUUUGGUUCCAAGAUCUAUCUGUCCCCUCCCCUCCUUUUUAUUUUUAUUUUUUCUGUACUGUAAUUGUAUUUUGUUGUCUCUUUUGAUAUGAAAGUGUCUGCACUUGACAUACUGUCAGAGUAUUUUUCUUUAUCUCUAAUACUUUAUUGUAUAUGUCACUGUGAUUGUACGAUUGUGUCAAAAUAUUUGUCACAUUCUCACUUUUGAUGUUCAGUAUUUGUCCUAUUACUGCCACAGAUGCAAGAUAACCUUUUAUCAAAUACUUUUAUAGACUUCAGACAGUCUCAAAGAGUGGUGAAAGAGAAGUUAUUCCUGUUAUUUCUGAAGCGUUCUGCAUAUAAUUUAAAAAACAAAACAGAGAAAAGAAGUUUCUCAAAAACACAGAUUUCCCAGGUUGUUUGUUAAAGUUGUCAAUUUCCCUGAACCCUUUUCAUGAAUUGUUUUCCUGUCAUGUUAAAUAAAUAAAGAAUUUUUCCAUGUUA
rnacentral:lncRNA from 1 species